UACGGGGGGAGCAAGCGUUGUUCGGAUUUACUGGGCGUAAAGGGCGCGUAGGCGGCCACCGCAAGUCGACUGUGAAAUCUCCGGGCUUAACCCGGAAAGGUCAGCCGAUACUGCGGGGCUAGAGUGCAGAAGGGGCAACUGGAAUUCUCGGUGUAGCGGUGAAAUGCGUAGAUAUCGGGAGGAACACCUGUGGCGAAAGCGGCUCACUGGACCACAACUGACGCUGAGGCGCGAAAGCUAGGGGAGCAAACAGG
rnacentral:rRNA from 1 species